CUCCAGCGCUGGGCAAAGCUCCCAGGUGCUGAUCUUCCAGGCCUCAUUUGACUUUACUAGGGCAGUGCGCUGUCCAAUCACAGACUUCAAAAGACCUAAAUAUGCUCAGAAUUGACAUUAAGCAGCCCGGCACCGAAUUCAGGGCUGCCAAUGUCAUGUGUGCUGGGGGUGUAAUGUUCCCACAGCACACAAGUGCAAAUAUCUCUGUAUGUGCAGUAUUUCAGUCUGAAACCUUGUACAUACCAACUCCUACCACUAUGACCACUUCAAAUC